rnacentral:rRNA from 1 species
UGGGGAAUAUUGCACAAUGGGCGCAAGCCUGAUGCAGCCAUGCCGCGUGUAUGAAGAAGGCCUUCGGGUUGUAAAGUACUUUCAGUCGGGAGGAAGGUGUCAAGGUUAAUAACCUUAUCAAUUGACGUUACCGACAGAAGAAGCACCGGCUAACUCCGUGCCAGCAGCCGCGGUAAUACGGAGGGUGCAAGCGUUAAUCGGAAUUACUGGGCGUAAAGCGCACGCAGGCGGUUGAUUGAGUCAGAUGUGAAAUCCCCGGGCUUAACCCGGGAAUUGCAUCUGAUACUGGUCAGCUAGAGUCUUGUAGAGGGGGGUAGAAUUCCAUGUGUAGCGGUGAAAUGCGUAGAGAUCUGGAGGAAUACCGGUGGCGAAGGCGGCCCCCUGGACAAAGACUGACGCUCAGGUGCGAAAGCGUGGGGAGCAAACAGG